rnacentral:misc_RNA from 1 species
UUUCCGUAGGUGAACCUGCGGAAGGAUCAUUACAGAGUUCAUGCCCUUACGGGUAGAUCUCCCACCCUUGAAAUUUGUCCUUUUGUUGCUUUGGCGGGCCGCGGCCUCGGCUACCGGCUUCGGUUGGUAUGUGCCCGCCAGUGGACCCAACUCUGCUUUUUAGUGAAGUAUGAGUACUAUAUAAUAGUUAAAACUUUCAACAACGGAUCUCUUGGUUCUG